AAUCCAUAGGUUAAUGAGGCGAACCGGGGGAACUGAAACAUCUAAGUACCCCGAGGAAAAGAAAUCAACCGAGAUUCCCCCAGUAGCGGCGAGCGAACGGGGAGGAGCCCAGAGCCUGAAUCAGCAUGUGUGUUAGUGGAAGCGUCUGGAAAGGCGCGCGAUACAGGGUGACAGCCCCGUACACAAAAGCGCAUGUGCUGUGAGCUCGAUGAGUAGGGCGGGACACGUGGUAUCCUGUCUGAAUAUGGGGGGACCAUCCUCCAAGGCUAAAUACUCCUGACUGACCGAUAGUGAACCAGUACCGUGAGGGAAAGGCGAAAAGAACCCCGGCGAGGGGAGUGAAAAAGAACCUGAAACCGUGUACGUACAAGCAGUGGGAGCACCCUUUGGGUGUGACUGCGUACCUUUUGUAUAAUGGGUCAGCGACUUAUAUUCUGUAGCAAGGUUAACCGAAUAGGGGAGCCGGAGGGAAACCGAGUCUUAAUUGGGCGUUAAGUUGCAGGGUAUAGACCCGAAACCCGGUGAUCUAGCCAUGGGCAGGUUGAAGGUUGGGUAACACUAACUGGAGGACCGAACCGACUAAUGUUGAAAAAUUAGCGGAUGACCUGUGGCUGGGGGUGAAAGGCCAAUCAAACCGGGAGAUAGCUGGUUCUCCCCGAAAGCUAUUUAGGUAGCGCCUCGUGAAUUCAUCUCCGGGGGUAGAGCACUGUUUCGGCUAGGGGGCCAUCCCGGCUUACCAACCCGAUGCAAACUGCGAAUACCGGAGAAUGUUAUCACGGGAGACACACGGCGGGUGCUAACGUCCGUCGUGAAGAGGGAAACAACCCAGACCGCCAGCUAAGGUCCCAAAGUCAUGGUUAAGUGGGAAACGAUGUGGGAAGGCCCAGACAGCCAGGAUGUUGGCUUAGAAGCAGCCAUCAUUUAAAGAAAGCGUAAUAGCUCACUGGUCGAGUCGGCCUGCGCGGAAGAUGUAACGGGGCUAAACCAUGCACCGAAGCUGCGGCAGCGACACUGUGUGUUGUUGGGUAGGGGAGCGUUCUGUAAGCCUGUGAAGGUGUGUCGUGAGGCAUGCUGGAGGUAUCAGAAGUGCGAAUGCUGACAUAAGUAACGAUAAAGCGGGUGAAAAGCCCGCUCGCCGGAAGACCAAGGGUUCCUGUCCAACGUUAAUCGGGGCAGGGUGAGUCGACCCCUAAGGCGAGGCCGAAAGGCGUAGUCGAUGGGAAACGGGUUAAUAUUCCCGUACUUGGUGUUACUGCGAAGGGGGGACGGAGAAGGCUAUGUUGGCCGGGCGACGGUUGUCCCGGUUUAAGCGUGUAGGUGUGUGUUCCAGGUAAAUCCGGUUCACUUUAACACUGAGGCGUGACGACGAGGCACUACGGUGCUGAAGCAACAAAUGCCCUGCUUCCAGGAAAAGCCUCUAAGCAUCAGGUAACAUCAAAUCGUACCCCAAACCGACACAGGUGGUCAGGUAGAGAAUACCAAGGCGCUUGAGAGAACUCGGGUGAAGGAACUAGGCAAAAUGGUGCCGUAACUUCGGGAGAAGGCACGCUGACACGUAGGUGAAGUGAUUUACUCAUGGAGCUGAAGUCAGUCGAAGAUACCAGCUGGCUGCAACUGUUUAUUAAAAACACAGCACUGUGCAAACACGAAAGUGGACGUAUACGGUGUGACGCCUGCCCGGUGCCGGAAGGUUAAUUGAUGGGGUCAGCGCAAGCGAAGCUCCUGAUCGAAGCCCCGGUAAACGGCGGCCGUAACUAUAACGGUCCUAAGGUAGCGAAAUUCCUUGUCGGGUAAGUUCCGACCUGCACGAAUGGCGUAAUGAUGGCCAGGCUGUCUCCACCCGAGACUCAGUGAAAUUGAACUCGCUGUGAAGAUGCAGUGUACCCGCGGCAAGACGGAAAGACCCCGUGAACCUUUACUAUAGCUUGACACUGAACAUUGAGCCUUGAUGUGUAGGAUAGGUGGGAGGCUUUGAAGUGUGGACGCCAGUCUGCAUGGAGCCGACCUUGAAAUACCACCCUUUAAUGUUUGAUGUUCUAACGUGGACCCGUUACCCGGGUUGCGGACAGUGUCUGGUGGGUAGUUUGACUGGGGCGGUCUCCUCCUAAAGAGUAACGGAGGAGCACGAAGGUUGGCUAAUCCUGGUCGGACAUCAGGAGGUUAGUGCAAUGGCAUAAGCCAGCUUGACUGCGAGCGUGACGGCGCGAGCAGGUGCGAAAGCAGGUCAUAGUGAUCCGGUGGUUCUGAAUGGAAGGGCCAUCGCUCAACGGAUAAAAGGUACUCCGGGGAUAACAGGCUGAUACCGCCCAAGAGUUCAUAUCGACGGCGGUGUUUGGCACCUCGAUGUCGGCUCAUCACAUCCUGGGGCUGAAGUAGGUCCCAAGGGUAUGGCUGUUCGCCAUUUAAAGUGGUACGCGAGCUGGGUUUAGAACGUCGUGAGACAGUUCGGUCCCUAUCUGCCGUGGGCGCUGGAGAACUGAGGGGGGCUGCUCCUAGUACGAGAGGACCGGAGUGGACGCAUCACUGGUGUUCGGGUUGUCAUGCCAAUGGCACUGCCCGGUAGCUAAAUGCGGAAGAGAUAAGUGCUGAAAGCAUCUAAGCACGAAACUUGCCCCGAGAUGAGUUCUCCCUGAGACUUAAAGUCUCCUGAAGGAACGUUGAAGACGACGACGUUGAUAGGCCGGGUGUGUA
rnacentral:rRNA from 1 species